rnacentral:rRNA from 1 species
UUAAGCAUAUUAAUUAGGGGAGGAAAAGAAACUAACCAGGAUUUUCUUAGUAGCGGCGAGCGAAAAGAAAUCAGUUCAGCACUAAGUCACUUUGUCUAUAUGGCAAAUGUGAGAUGCAGUGUAUGGAACGUCAAUAUUCUAGUAUGAGAAAUUAACGAUUUAAGUCCUUCUUAAAUGAGGCCAUUUACCCAUAGAGGGUGCCAGGCCCGUAUAACGUUAAUGAUUACUAGAUGAUGUUUCCAAAGAGUCGUGUUGCUUGAUAGUGCAGCACUAAGUGGGUGGUAAACUCCAUCUAAAACUAAAUAUAACCAUGAGACCGAUAGUAAACAAGUACCGUGAGGGAAAGUUGAAAAGAACUCUGAAUAGAGAGUUAAACAGUACGUGAAACUGCUUAGAGGUUAAGCCCGAUGAACCUGAAUAUCCGUUAUGGAAAAUUCAUCAUUAAAGUUGUAAUAUUUUUAAAAUAUUAUAAUAAUAGUGUGCAUUUUUUCCAUAUAAGGACAUUGUAAUCUAUUAGCAUAUAACAAAUUUAUCAUAAAAUAUGACUUAUAGUUUAUUCAAAUUAUUAUGCUUGCAUUUUAACAUAGAAUAAAUGUCAUUAAUUUGAUAAAGUGUUGAUAAAUUAAAAUUAAUACAGUGCGUUAAUUUUUCGAAAUUAUAUAAUGGCAUAAUUAUCAUCGAUUUUUGUGUUUAUUAUAUGCAUUUGUAUGAUUAACAAUGCGAAAGAUUCAGGAUACCUUCGGGACCCGUCUUGAAACACGGACCAAGGAGUCUAACAUAUGUGCAAGUUAUUGGGAGAUAAACCUAAUAGCGUAAUUAACUUGACUAAUAAUGGGAUUAGUUUUUUAACUAUUUAUAGAUAAUUAACACAAUCCCGGGGCGUUCUAUAUAGUUAUGUAUAAUAAUAUUUAUAUUAUUUAUGCCUCUAACUGGAACGUACCUUGAGCAUAUAUGCUGUGACCCGAAAGAUGGUGAACUAUACUUGAUCAGGUUGAAGUCAGGGGAAACCCUGAUGGAAGACCGAAACAGUUCUGACGUGCAAAUCGAUUGUCAGAAUUGAGUAUAGGGGCGAAAGACCAAUCGAACCAUCUAGUAGCUGGUUCCUUCCGAAGUUUCCCUCAGGAUAGCUGGUGCAUUUUAAUGUUAUAUAAAAUAAUCUUAUCUGGUAAAGCGAAUGAUUAGAGGCCUUAGGGUCGAAACGAUCUUAACCUAUUCUCAAACUUUAAAUGGGUAAGAACCUUAACUUUCUUGAUAUGAAGUUUAAGGUUAUGAUAUAAUGUGCCCAGUGGGCCACUUUUGGUAAGCAGAACUGGCGCUGUGGGAUGAACCAAACGUAAUGUUACGGUGCCCAAAUUAACAACUCAUGCAGAAACCAUGAAAGGCGUUGGUUGCUUAAAACAGCAGGACGGUGAUCAUGGAAGUCGAAAUCCGCUAAGGAGUGUGUAACAACUCACCUGCCGAAGCAACUAGCCCUUAAAAUGGAUGGCGCUUAAGUUGUAUACCUAUACAUUACCGCUAAAGUAGAUGAUUUAUAUUACUUGUGAUAUAAAUUUUGAAACUUUAGUGAGUAGGAAGGUACAAUGGUAUGCGUAGAAGUGUUUGGCGUAAGCCUUCAUGGAGCUGCCAUUGGCACAGAUCUUGGUGGUAGUAGCAAAUAAUCGAAUGAGACCUUGGAGGACUGAAGUGGAGAAGGGUUUCGUGUGAACAGUGGUUGAUCACGAGUUAGUCGGUCCUAAGUUCAAGGCGAAAGCCGAAAAUUUUCAAGUAAAAAAUCAGUGAGUAAUAUUGUCAAAUCUUUUAUGAUUUUUAAAUACUUGAAUAAUUUUGAACGAAAGGGAAUACGGUUCCAAUUCCGUAACCUGUUGAGUAUCCGUUUGUUAUUAAAUAUGGGCCUCGUGCUCAUCCUGGCAACAGGAACGACCAUAAAGAAGCCGUCGAGAGAUAUCGGAAGAGUUUUCUUUUCUGUUUUAUAGCCGUACUACCAUGGAAGUCUUUCGCAGAGAGAUAUGGUAGAUGGGCUAGAAGAGCAUGACAUAUACUGUUGUGUCGAUAUUUUCUCCUCGGACCUUGAAAAUUUAUGGUGGGGACACGCAAACUUCUCAACAGGCCGUACCAAUAUCCGCAGCUGGUCUCCAAGGUGAAGAGUCUCUAGUCGAUAGAAUAAUGUAGGUAAGGGAAGUCGGCAAAUUAGAUCCGUAACUUCGGGAUAAGGAUUGGCUCUGAAGAUUGAGAUAGUCGGGCUUGAUUGGGAAACAAUAACAUGGUUUAUGUGCUCGUUCUGGGUAAAUAGAGUUUCUAUCAUUUAUGGUAGUUACUUGUUCCCCGGAUAGUUUAGUUACGUAGCCAAUUGUGGAACUUUCUUGCUAAAAUUUUUAAGAAUACUAAUUGGGUUAAACCAGUUAGUUCUUAUUAAUUAUAACGAUUAUCAAUUAACAAUCAAUUCAGAACUGGCACGGACUUGGGGAAUCCGACUGUCUAAUUAAAACAAAGCAUUGUGAUGGCCCUAGCGGGUGUUGACACAAUGUGAUUUCUGCCCAGUGCUCUGAAUGUCAAAGUGAAGAAAUUCAAGUAAGCGCGGGUCAACGGCGGGAGUAACUAUGACUCUCUUAAGGUAGCCAAAUGCCUCGUCAUCUAAUUAGUGACGCGCAUGAAUGGAUUAACGAGAUUCCUACUGUCCCUAUCUACUAUCUAGCGAAACCACAGCCAAGGGAACGGGCUUGGAAUAAUUAGCGGGGAAAGAAGACCCUUUUGAGCUUGACUCUAAUCUGGCAGUGUAAGGAGACAUAAGAGGUGUAGCAUAAGUGGGAGAUAUUAGAUUUCGGUUUGGUAUCGACAAUGAAAUACCACUACUCUUAUUGUUUCCUUACUUACUUGAUUAAAUGGAACGUGUAUCAUUUCCUAGCCAUUAUACGGAUAUAUUUAUUAUAUCUUAUGGUAUUGGGUUUUGAUGCAAGCUUCUUGAUCAAAGUAUCACGAGUUUGUUAUAUAAUCGCAAACAAAUUCUUUAAUGAGAAGAUGCAGUUAUGUAUUUUCAAUUUGAAAAUUUGGUAUAACUCCAAUUACUCAGGUAUGAUCCAAUUCAAGGACAUUGCCAGGUAGGGAGUUUGACUGGGGCGGUACAUCUCUCAAAUAAUAACGGAGGUGUCCCAAGGCCAGCUCAGUGCGGACAGAAACCACACAUAGA